GCUGGGUGGGGACGUAACCAAGCGACCCAGGAAUGCUUGGGCGUGCCUCCACCCACGCCGGCGUCGGCGGGCGUAUUUCGCCUCACAGUAGGUCGCCGCGACCCGUUGCUUUUGGGGACGUCGAAGGCCCGGACGGAUUGGUACCCUACCGGCUGGGGAUGCGGCUUCGGCUUCUCCUCUUGUCCGGUGGGCGAAACCGCCGGUGUCCUGGCUGCCCUGCGACGGUCGUAGAGACGAGCCCUUCCCAUUCGUGGGGGGCGGCUCUCGCGGCGUGCAAAAGAUCGGUGAUCCACCCGACCCGUCUUGAAACACGGACCAAGGAGUCUAACAUGUGUGCGAGUCAGUGGGCGCACUAAACCCAGAGGCGUAAUGAAAGUGACACGGGUUCGGCUGUCGCCUCGUGUGGCAGCCGGACUCUGGGCCGAUCCCUCACCGGUUGCCCUCGCCUUUCUCCCGCGUCUCGGUAAGCCGGGUGAGCUAUUUUCCCCGGCCAAUGCUGCGGGGCUCGGGAGGAGGCGGGGUUGCGAUGGUGUCCGUAAAAAAGAGCCUGCUGUUGCAGGGGGGCGCAGGCCCGGGACUUGCCAGGACGCCGCGAGACUGUCACUUGGCUGUGAGGCUCCAGGGCCGAUCAGCGGGUCAUGCGUGCAGUCGGCAAGUACCAUGAGCAGACAUGUUGGGACCCGAAAGAUGGUGAACUAUGCCUGGCCAGGAUGAAGCCAGAGGAAACUCUGGUGGAGGUCCGUAGCGAUUCUGACGUGCAAAUCGAUCGUCUGAGCUGGGUAUAGGGGCGAAAGACUAAUCGAACCAUCUAGUACUGGUUCCCUCCGAAGUUUCCCUCAGGAUAGCUGGAACUCGUGGGAUGAAUUUCAUCCGGUAAAGCGAAUGAUUAGAGGCCUUGGGGACGAAACGUUCUCA
rnacentral:rRNA from 1 species